CCUACGGGUGGCAGCAGUGAGGAAUAUUGGUCAAUGGGCGGAAGCCUGAACCAGCCAAGUCGCGUGAGGGAAUAAGGCCCUACGGGUCGUAAACCUCUUUUGCCGGGGAGCAAGGGCGGGGACGUGUCCCGUCCCGGAGAGUACCCGGAGAAAAAGCAUCGGCUAACUCCGUGCCAGCAGCCGCGGUGAUACGGAGGAUGCGAGCGUUAUCCGGAUUUAUUGGGUUUAAAGGGUGCGUAGGCGGGCUUUUAAGUCAGCGGUAAAAAUUCGGGGCGCAACCCCGUCCGGCCGUUGAAACUGGGGGCGUUGAGUGGGCGAGAAGAAGGCGGAAUGCGUGGUGUAGCGGUGAAAUGCAUAGAUAGCACGCAGAACCCCGAUUGCGAAGGCAGCCUUCCGGCGCCCUACUGACGCUGAGGCACGAAAGUGCGGGGAUCGAACAGGAUUAGAUACCCGAGUAGUC
rnacentral:rRNA from 1 species